UAAGACGGAGGGGGCUAGCGUUGUUCGGAAUGACUGGGCGUAAAGGGCGCGUAGGUGGUUUUUCAAGUCAGGCGUGAAAGCCCCGGGCUUAACCUGGGAACUGCGCUUGAUACUGGAUGACUAGAGGACGAGAGAGGAAAGUGGAAUUCCGAGUGUAGAGGUGAAAUUCGUAGAUAUUCGGAGGAACAUCAGAGGCGAAGGCGGCUUUCUGGCUCGUAUCUGACGCUGAGGCGCGAAAGCGUGGGGAGCAAACAGG
rnacentral:rRNA from 1 species